rnacentral:rRNA from 1 species
AUUGAACGCUAGCGGCAUGCCUAACACAUGCAAGUCGAACGAGUGGCGGACGGGUGAGUAGUAUAUUAGAACGUGCCCAGUAGCGGGGGCUAACUACGAGAAAGAGUGGCUACUACCGCAUACUAUUCUAUCGGCCGAUAUCGGAUUAGCUAGUUGGUGGGGUAAAGGCUCACCAAGGCAACGAUCCGUAGCUGGCUUGAGAGGACGACCAGCCACACUGGGACUGAGACACGGCCCAGACUCCUACGGGAGGCAGCAGUGGGGAAUUUUGGACAAUGGGGGAAACCCUGAUCCAGCCAUCCCGCGUGUAUGAGAAGGCCUUCGGGUUGUAAAGUACUUUUGUCAGAGAAGCGGUAUCUGCAGAAUAAGCACCGGCUAACUACGUGCCAGCAGCCGCGGUAAUUC